AACGAACGCUGGCGGCAUGCCUAACACAUGCAAGUCGAACGAGACCUUCGGGUCUAGUGGCGCACGGGUGCGUAACGCGUGGGAACCUGCCCUUAGGUUCGGAAUAACUCCCCGAAAGGGGUGCUAAUACCGGAUAAUGUCUUCGGACCAAAGAUUUAUCGCCUUUGGAUGGGCCCGCGUUGGAUUAGCUGGUUGGUAGGGUAAAAGCCUACCAAGGCGACGAUCCAUAGCUGGUCUGAGAGGAUGAUCAGCCACACUGGGACUGAGACACGGCCCAGACUCCUACGGGAGGCAGCAGUGGGGAAUAUUGGACAAUGGGCGAAAGCCUGAUCCAGCAAUGCCGCGUGAGUGAUGAAGGCCGUAGGGUUGUAAAGCUCUUUUACACGGGAUGAUAAUGACAGUACCGGGAGAAUAAGCUCCGGCUAACUCCGUG
rnacentral:rRNA from 1 species